CCAAUAGCGUAUAUUAAAGUUGCUGCAGUUAAAAAGCUCGUAGUUGAAUUUCGGGACCAAUAUGUCGGUCGUGCCUCGGUACGUACUGGCAUCAUUGGUUUCUCCCUUCUGACGAACCAUGAUGUCAUUUAUUUGGUGUCGUGGGGAAUCAGGACUGUUACUUUGAAAAAAUUAGAGUGUUUACAGCAGGCUCAAGCUUGAAUACAUUAGCAUGGAAUAAUGAAAUAGGACGUUUGAUUCUAUUUUGUUGGUUUCUAGGAUCGACGUAAUGAUUAAUAGGGAUAGUUGGGGGCAUUAGUAUUCAAUUGUCAGAGGUGAAAUUCUUGGAUUUAUUGAAGACUAACUACUGCGAAAGCAUUUGCCAAGGAUGUUUUCAUUAAUCAAGAACGAAAGUUAGGGGAUCGAAGACGAUCAGAUACCGUCGUAGUCUUAACCAUAAACUAUGCCGACUAGGGAUCGGAUGAUGUUAAUUUUUUAAUGACUCAUUCGGCGCCUUACG
rnacentral:rRNA from 1 species